rnacentral:rRNA from 1 species
CUACGGGACGCACCAGUGAGGAAUAUUGCACAAUGGGGGGAACCCUGAUGCAGCAACGCCGCGUGGAGGAUGACGCAUUUCGGUGUGUAAACUCCUUUUAUAUGUCAAGAAAAUGACGGUAGCAUAUGAAUAAGCACCGGCUAACCCCGUGCCAGCAGCCGCGGUAAUAGCGGAGGGUGCAAGCGUUACUCGGAAUCACUGGGCGUAAAGGACGCGUAGGCGGGCUUGUAAGUCAGGUGUGAAAUCCUACAGCUUAACUGUAGAACUGCACUUGAAACUACGAGCCUAGAGUAUGGGAGGGGCAGAUGGAAUUAGUGGUGUAGGGGUAAAAUCCGUAGAUAUCACUAGGAAUACCUAAAGCGAAGGCGAUCUGCUGGAACAUAACUGACGCUAAGGCGUGAAAGCGUGGGGAGCAAACAGGAUUAGAUACCCCCGUAGUC